rnacentral:rRNA from 1 species
GUGCCUAACACAUGCAAGUCGAGCGCGAAUGGAGCAAUCCUAGUAGAGCGGCGCACGGGUGCGUAACACGUGGGUAAUCUGCCCUGAAGCCCGGAAUAACCUGCCGAAAGGCAAGCUAAUACCGGAUAAGCCUACGGCCCCCUCGGGGGCUGAAGGAAAAGGUGGCCUCUGCAUGCAAGCUAUCACUUCAGGAUGAGCCCGCGGCCCAUCAGCUCGUUGGCGGGGUAACGGCCCACCAAGGCAACGACGGGUAGCUGGUCUGAGAGGACGAUCAGCCACACUGGAACUGAGACACGGUCCAG